GCCCGAGUCCGCCCAGCAGGCGGGGCCACGCCCAUCACGGACUCCCAGGAGCGUAGUGGAGGUGAGGGCCGGGCGGCCCAGCGCCCAUUGGUUGUUGGGGCCUCGGUCCCGCCCCACCCCGCCGAGACCUCUCAUUUUCAGGGCUCUUCUGAGGACAGGAGGAGGAACUGGGGUGCUGGGUCACGUGGGACGCGCCGCCGCGGGUGUCCGCUGUCAGGCGGUCUUCCAGUUCGUCCUGGGUGGUCGCAGGGUGAUGACGUUGGCGCCAUCCGUGAGACCCUGGAAGUCCCGCUAAGAUGCCAUGAGCUGGUGUGCUUGACUACCACCAAGCUGUCAAUGUUUACUACACCAACAUGGAUGAAAAGAGGGACCAGCUGGCCAUACGUGGAGGAUGCCACAUGGAAUGGAAGUCCCAUCUCUUAGACAGAAGUCCCUGGGGAAAAGAAUCAUAAAAAGCGAGAUAAGUAUCAGGCUGUGAAUAUGCCGCCUUCUCUCGGAAGCCCACACCGUCAAGUCCUUUGGAGCGGGACCAGAGAAGAUGCAAUAGGCCUCAUUUCUUGCGGUGAGUCGCUUU